rnacentral:tRNA from 1 species
GAUAAGGUAGCUGAGUUGGUAUAGUAUUUGUCUGGCACGCACAAAGCCUUGGGUUCAAUCCCAGUAUCA